GCCCCUGUCAUCUAAAGGUCAGGAUUCCGGUUUUUCAAGCCGGCCAUACGGGUUCGAGCCCCGUCGGGGGUA
rnacentral:tRNA from 1 species